GACGAACGCUGGCGGCGUGCUUAACACAUGCAAGUCGAACGGAAAGGCCCUGCUUUUGUGGGGUGCUCGAGUGGCGAACGGGUGAGUAACACGUGAGUAACCUGCCCUUGACUUUGGGAUAACUUCAGGAAACUGGGGCUAAUACCGGAUAGGAGCUCCUGCUGCAUGGUGGGGGUUGGAAAGUUUCGGCGGUUGGGGAUGGACUCGCGGCUUAUCAGCUUGUUGGUGGGGUAGUGGCUUACCAAGGCUUUGACGGGUAGCCGGCCUGAGAGGGUGACCGGCCACAUGGGGACUGAGAUACGGCCCAGACUCCUACGGGAGGCAGCAGUGGGGAAUAUUGCACAAUGGGCGGAAGCCUGAUGCAGCAACGCCGCGUGCGGGAUGACGGCCUUCGGGUUGUAAACCGCUUUCGCCUGUGACGAAGCGUGAGUGACGGUAAUGGGUAAAGAAGCAGCGGCUAACUACGUG
rnacentral:rRNA from 1 species